GAUGAACGCUAGCGGCAGGCCUAAUACAUGCAAGUCGAACGGUAAGGCCCUUUCGGGGGUACACGAGUGGCGGACGGGUGCGUAACGCGUAUGCAACAUGCCUUCCAGCGGGGGAUAUACCAGGGAAACUUGGCGCAAUACCCCAUAGAAUUACGGGACCGCAUGGUCUUGUGAUUAAAACUCCGGUGCUGGGAGAUUGGCAUGCGUGACAUUAGCUAGUUAGCGGGGUAACGGCCUACCAAGGGUACGAUGGGUAGCUGGUCUGAGAGGAUGAUCAGCCACACUGGGACUGAGACACGGCCCAGACUCCUACGGGAGGCAGCAGUGGGGAAUAUUGGACAAUGGGGGAAACCCUGAUCCAGCUACGCCGCGUGGGUGAUGAAGGCCUUC
rnacentral:rRNA from 1 species